GAUGAACGCUGGCGGCGUGCCUAACACAUGCAAGUCGAACGGAGAUUACGGACGGAAGGGUUCGGAUGGAGGACAGCAAUUGUUAGAGGCGGACGGGAGAGUAACGCGUGGGCAACCUGCGCCAUACAGGGGGAUAGCAGUUGGAAACGGCUGGUAAGACCGCAUAAGUCGGCGAGACCGCAUGGUUUUGCCGGGAAAUGAGCAGUCUGGUAUAGGCUGGGGCCGCGUCCGAUUAGCCAGCUGGCAGGGUAAAAGUCUACCAAAGCAACGAGCGGUGGCCGGGCGGAGGGGUCGGAACGCUGCGUUUGGGCUGAGGCACGGCCCCCACUGCUACGGAGGGCAGCAGUGGGGGGUAUUGCGGGAUGGAGGAUGCUCUGGUGCAGCGGCGCCGCGGGAGUGAAGAAGUAUUUCGGUAUGUAAAGCUAUAUCAGCAGGGGAGAUGAUGACGGUACCUGACGAAGAAGCCCCGGCUAACUACGUG
rnacentral:rRNA from 1 species